AAUAGAUACCCGGGUAGUCCACGCCGUAAACGAUGAGUGCUAAGUGUUAGGGGGUUUCCGCCCCUUAGUGCUGCAGCUAACGCAUUAAGCACUCCGCCUGGGGAGUACGGUCGCAAGACUGAAACUCAAAGGAAUUGACGGGGGCCCGCACAAGCGGUGGAACAUGUGGUUUAAUUCGAAGCAACGCGAAGAACCUUACCAGGUCUUGACAUCCCGUUGACCACUGUAGAGAUAUAGUUUCCCCUUCGGGGGCAACGGUGACAGGUGGUGCAUGGUUGUCGUCAGCUCGUGUCGUGAGAUGUUGGGUUAAGUCCCGCAACGAGCGCAACCCUUGAUCUUAGUUGCCAUCAUUUAGUUGGGCACUCUAAGGUGACUGCCGGUGACAAACCGGAGGAAGGUGGGGAUGACGUCAAAUCAUCGUGCCCCUUAUGACCUGGGCUACACACGUGCUACAAUGGACGAUACAAACGGUUGCCAACUCGCGAGAGGGAGCUAAUCCGAUAAAGUCGUUCUCAGUUCGGAUUGUAGGCUGCAACUCGCCUAC
rnacentral:rRNA from 1 species